GCCUUCGUGGUGCAACGGUAACACACUCGGCGCGUAUUCUAGAGGUCUAGGUUCGAGUCCCGGCGAGGGCC
rnacentral:tRNA from 1 species